AAAGGUUUAAAAAAAAAAGAACACGCCCGAUCUCGUCAGAUCUGGGAAGCUAAGCAAGGUCAGGCCUGGUUAGUACUUGGAUGGGAGACCGCCUGGCAAUAUCUUUCUUUUGCCAGUC
rnacentral:rRNA from 1 species